AGCUCCAAUAGCGUAUAUUAAAGUUGUUGCGGUUAAAAAGCUCGUAGUUGGAUUUCUGUCGGUGAGUGGCGGUCCGCCCCUUGUGGUGAGCACUCGUCAAGCCACCGGCAUCCUCCUGGGGACUGCGCUGCACUUUACUGUGUGGCGGACUAUCCAGGACAUUUACUUUGAGGAAAUGAGAGUGUUUCAAGCAAGCAUCUGCCGUGAAUACGUUAGCAUGGAAUGAUAGCAUCGGACCUCGAUCUGAAGCUGUUGGUUAUUUGGGUCGAGGUAAAGGUGAAUAGGGAUUGUUGGGGGCAUUCGUAUUUAACUGUCAGAGGUGAAAUUCUUGGAUUUGUUGAAGACGGACUACUGCGAAAGCAUCUGCCAAAGAUGUUCUCA
rnacentral:rRNA from 1 species